UCUAAUAUGGCAGAAUAGUGCAAUGGACUUAAACCCCAUAAAUAAAGGCCAUCCUUUUUUUAGAA
rnacentral:tRNA from 1 species